AAAGUCGUAACAAGGUUUCCGUAGGUGAACCUGCGGAAGGAUCAUUACAGUGUUCCCUGCCCUCACGGGUAGAAACGCCCACCCUUGUGUAUUAUAUCAUGUUGCUUUGGCGGACCGCCUUCGGGCACCGGCCUCGGCUGGUUCGCGUCCGCCAGAGGAUCCCAAACUCUGUAUGUUAGUGUCGUCUGAGUACUAUAUAAUAGUUAAAACUUUCAACAACGGAUCUCUUGGUUCUG
rnacentral:misc_RNA from 1 species